CAGCUAUCUCUCAUGGAUCAUUUAUAAUAUGUGCUAGAUUUUUGCCCUUCCCUUCUUAUAUAAAGCAUGAUAUAUGUGAUUUUGAAACUUCAGUAACUCCUGUUUCUUUUGGUUUACAUCAGGAUUGGAUUCAGAGUGAUAUGGGACCAGGGCCUGUAGGCCAAGGCUUCUUCCAGUUAUUGAAGAAGGCCUCACCAACUUCUUCCUCCUGACUGAAGCAUCUGAGAGGAAAAUGCAUUUGCAAGAAUCCAGAUGGGGCACCUUUUGUCAUUUCCUUGAGUUUUACAAUUUGUAGCUCUUUUUUGCUGGCUGAGUUUUAGCUGGGUUUUCCCCCACUCCAUUUCUUGCAUGACAGGAAAGUCAACAAAGCCAAUAUCUGUACUGCAAUACCAGCUAAAAGGACCUCUUGAUUAAAAAGGAGCAGCAGUAUUCUGUAAGAGACAACUGAGAGAGGAACAUCAGGCUCUUCAUCUGCUUUGAGAAGAAACAGUUUAGUUGACAUGCAGGAGAGAGGUAACACAGACAUCAGCAGGGCAGAGGGGAUUGAAGAGGGUCUGGAAGUUCUGCUCCAGACAGUUUGGGACUCUGUGAUUGAAGUGGUGAUGGACUGUGGCCAUAUCUCCAUUCUUAGCCAGCUGUAGAAAGUUCCCAUUGCAAACUGGAGUCCUUGACUUGGAAGAGCUCUGGAGGGUGGAUGCUUGCGCAUAGGCUUGGGACUGCAGGGGUGCCUGGUGCCCCUCCUGCUCUGGGAUGACAACAGGAGGUACAGAAGGAGGAGAGAGCAGAUUGCAUGGCACCAGGAUGCUGAACAGGAGAGUGACACUUUUCACAGACACUCUGUAAAGAAGAAAGACUCCAAAGAUGUGGGAAACUGGAAGCUUGUGAUGACAAGAUAAGCCUUCACCAAUCACAGCAUCAGCAAUGGCAUAAUUGUUAAGAAAGGUGAACAAGUCCAAUUUAGGUGGGCCUCCAAGGCAGCUUGGCAUGGACUGACCACUAGCCUUGAAAGGAAGCAGUGGGUGAUAGUGGUUGAUGCUUCCUUUCUGCUCCCCUUCACUUGUGGUAUGUCUAGGGAGACCAUCCAGGAUGAUUUGUUGCUUGCAGAAAGGCAAAUUCUGCUCCUGUAAUCCUCCUUGUCUUUAGAGCUAAAUCUUGCUGUUUAUCCACAAGUGAACGGGCAAAACUUAGUUAUCAACUGGCUGUUGCUGGUGCUACAGGCAGAGCUUUGGUUAUUUUACUGUGCUCCCAUAUUUCAGAACAAAAAGAACUGCUAACAAGAUAUAAAUCUUGGUUAAAAAGAGCAUUAAACAAAGUGACCAAAAUCAGAACUACCAGCUGGUGA